ACCCUCCUGUGAUGACUUGCACUGGGCUCUGAAUCUGUAUGGAGAAGAUGUGCAUCUUUGGCCUUGACAAGCCAGAGUUUCUGAGGAAAAU
ensembl:snoRNA